AGUGAACGCUGGCGGCGUGCUUAACACAUGCAAGUCGAACGAUGAAGCUUUAGCUUGCUAGAGCGGAUUAGUGGCGCACGGGUGAGUAAUGUAUAGUUAAUCUGCCCUUUAGAGGGGGAUAACAGUUGGAAGCGACUGCUAAUACCCCAUACUCCUUCUAUAUUAAUUAUAGUUGGGAAAGUUUUUUCGCUAAAGGAUGAGACUAUAUGGUAUCAGCUAGUUGGUGGGGUAAUGGCUCACCAAGGCAAUGACACCUAGCUGGUCUGAGAGGAUGAUCAGCCACACUGGAACUGAGACACGGUCCAGACUCCUACGGGAGGCAGCAGUGGGGAAUAUUGCACAAUGGAGGAAACUCUGAUGCAGCAACGCCGCGUGGAGGAUGACACAUUUCGGUGCGUAAACUCCUUUUAUAUGGGAAGAUAAUGACGGUACCAUAUGAAUAAGCACCGGCUAACUCCGUGCCAGCCGCCGCGGUAAGAC
rnacentral:rRNA from 1 species